AGAAAUCAAAUCUUCUAAAAAUACAUGCUAUUUCACUUAACGAAGCACAGGAAGCACUUGCUAAAAACCUGAAUGUUCUGUCAUUGACCAAGGGCACUGAUGUGAGAAGAGAUCUCCAACCCGUUAGCAGCUCUUAGAGAAUCCAGCUGCCAUCUUGAGAGAUGCCCUAUGGAGAAGCCCAUCUGGCACGUACCUGUUGUCCCUGGCUAACAGCCCGCAAGAACCUGAAAUCUGCCAACAACCUCGUGAGUAAGCUUGUAGGUGAAUCCUCCCCAACUCAAGUCUUAAGAUGACCGCAGCCCCCAUUGACAUUUUGACUGUAGUGUUGAGACUGAACCAGGACACCCUGGUGAGCCAUCCCGACUCCUAACCCACAGAAACUGUGAGAUAAUAAACGUUUGUUGUUUUAAGUUGCAACAUUCUGAAGUAAUCUGUUACAUAGCAAUAGAUAACUCAUACUAUGACCUUUGCCUCAAUUAUUUCAUUAGUGGUUACUGGUUCGCGAUUAUCUAACUCUGCCAUUAAUUCCACAUUUAUUAGUUGGAAAUUAUUUGUCAAGAAAAACUUUUCCUCAUCAACUAGAGCUAUUUAAUUAUACUGAAAUACAGCCUGCAAGAAAGCAGGUUAAUGGCUUACGUUUUUUCUGUUGUCAGUUUUUAGAUUAAGGGCUGAUGUUCUAAUUACUUCCAAAGGUUGCCAAAGAAGUGUUUCUUUCUCUCUUUUAAAGUAGUAUUGUGGCCGGGCAUGGUGGCUCAUACCUGUAAUCCCCGUGCUUUGGGAGACCAAGGUAGACAGAUCACUUGAGGCCUGGAAUUCAACACCAACCUGGCCAACAUGGCAGAAACCCCGUCUCUACUAAAAUUUAAAAAUAAAAAUAUAGGUUCUGUGAGAUUUAUGCUUUAAGGAGGUUCUAUUUAUAUUAGUCUAUUUUCAUGCUGCUGAUAAACACAUACUUAAAACUGGGAACAAAAAGAGGUUUUGAUAGGUUGUGUCACUGUUAUAGUUCAAUUGAAAGGAUCUUUUAAUUUUCAUCUUGAUUGCAUUGCCCCAGCGAUCAUUCAGGAGCAGGUUAUCAAAUUUUCAUGUAUUUGCAUGGUCGUGAGGAUUCCUUUUGGAGUUCAUUUACAAUUUUAUUCCACUGUGCUCUGAGAGAGUACUUGAUAUAAUUUCAGUUUUCUUAAAUUGACUGAGACCUGUUUUGUGACCUAUCCUAUGAUCUAUUUUGGAAAAUGUUUCCUGUGCUGAUGAAUAGAAUGUAUAUUCUGCAGUUGUUUGGUAGAAUGUUCUGUAAAUAUCUCUUAAGUCCAUUCAUUGUAGGGUAUAGUUUAAGUCCAUUGUUUCUUUGUUAACUUUCUAUCUUGACCUGUCUAGAGCUGUCAGUAGAGUUUUGAAAUCUUCUGCUAUUAUUGUGUUGCUCUCUCUCAUUUCUUAGGUCUAUAGUUUUAUAUGUUCGGGAGCUCCAGCAGUAGGUGUGUAUAUAUUUAGAAUUGUGAUAUUUUCCUGUUGGAGUAGUCCUUUUAUCAUUGUAUAGUGUCUGUCUUUGUCUUUUUAAACUGCUGUUGCUUUAAAGUUUGUUUUGUCUGAUAUAAAAACAGCCGCUCCUGCUUGCUUUUGGUGUCCAUUUGCAUGAAAUAUCUUUUUCCAUCGCCUUACCUUAAGUUUAUAUGAGUCCUUAUGUGUUAGGUGAGAAACUUGGUUGGUGAUUCAUUCUGCCCUUUUGUAUCUUUUAAGUGGAGCAUUUAGGCCAUUUAUAGUCAAUGUUAGUAUUGAGAUGUGAGGUACUAUUCUAUUCAUCAUGCUAUUGUUGCCUGAAUACCUUGUUGUUUUUUCAUUGUGUUACUGUUAUAUAGGUUCUGUGAGAUUUAUGCUUUAAGGAGGUUCUAUUUUGGUGUAUUUCAAGGAUUUGUUUCAAGAUUUAGAGCUCAUUUUAGCAGUUCUUGUAGUGCUGGCUUGGUAGUGGUGAAUUCUCUCUGUCUGGAAAAGACUGUAUCUUUUCUUCAUUUGUGAAGCUUAGUUUUGCUGGAUACAAAAUUCUUGACUGAUAAUUGCUUUGUUUAAGGAGGCUAAAAAUAGGACCCCAGGCCAGGUGUGGUGGCUCAUGCCUGUAAUCCCAGCACUUUGGGAGGCCUAGGCGUGUGGAUCACGAGGUCAGGAGUUCAAGUCCAGCCUGACCAACAUGGUGAAAACCCCGUCUCUAUUAAAAAUGCAAAAGUUAGCUGGGUAUGGUGGCAUGCCGCUGUAAUCCCAGUUACUUGGGUGGCUAAGGCAGGAGAAUCACUUGAACCCAGGAGGCAGAGGUUGCAGUGAGCCAAGAUUGCACCACUGAACUCCAGCUUGGGCAAUAGAGCAAGACUCCAUUAAAACAAAACAAAACAAAACAAAACAAAACAAAAAACAGGUCUCCAAUCCUUUCUAGCUUGUAGGGUUUCUGCUGAGAAAUCUGCUGUUAAUCUGAUAGAUUUUCCUGUAGCAAUUACCAAAUGCUUUUGUCUCAUAGUUCUUAAGAUUCUUUUCUUCAUCUUGACUUUAGAUAAUCUGAUGAGAUGUGCCUUAAUCUGAUGAGAUGCCUAGGCAAUGAUCUUUUUGUGAUGAAUUUUCCAUGUGUUCUUUGGGCUUCUUGUAUUUGGAUGUCUAGAUCUCUAGCAAGGCAAAGGGAAUUUUCCUUGAUUAUUCCCUCAAAUAUAUUUUCCAAACUUUUAGAUUUCUCUUCUUCCUCAGGAGCACCAAUUAUUCUUAGGUUUGGAUGUUUAAUGUAGGCCCAAACUUCUUGGAGGCUUUGUUCAUUUUUUUAAACUCCUUUUUCUUUGUCUUUGAUAAAUUUGGUUAAUUCAAAAGCCUUGUCUUCAAGUUCCAAAGUUCUUUUUUCUGCUUGUUUUGAAGAGGGAGACCCAGGCAUCUGAGAUCAACUUCCCCUUUGACUAUCACACUGCAUUUCAAUAGAAGAAAAGACUGACCGACUGGCGCCUCCUGUUUCACCUUCCUGAGGUGGCAGGCUUGGUCUUGGGGAAACUCUCCGGAAGGCACUAUUUUUACUUAAAACAAGAUCAAACCAGAAACCUUUUCAUGUGUGAGUCCUAAAACUAAACCGGAACGCUUUCAUAUGUGAUUCCUGAAACUGUAAACAGAAACCUUUUUCACAUGUGAGUCCUAAAACUAUAAACUGGAACCCUUUCAUAUGUGAUUCCUGAAGAUGUAAACAGAAACCUUUUUCACGUGUGAGUCCAAAAACUGUAAACUGGAACCCUUUCAUAUGUGAUUCCUGAAGCUAUAAACGGAGACCAUUUUCAUAUGUUAUUUCUAAAGCUAUAAACCUAAGAUUCUUCCACGUGUAAUAUCUAAAGUAUAAGCCUAUAUAAAGGCAGCACCUUCCUUUGUUAGAUGAGCUGAGCUUUGGACAAAUUAUUGCUCAGGCUCCCAGCUGAAUAAAACUCCUUUCCUCCUGUAUUUGGUAUUCAGGAGAUCCGUUUCCUGUGGCCGCUCCUGCUACAGUUUGAUUCUAUUGUGAUACUUUCCAGUGUAUUUGGCAUUUCUCUAAGUGUGUCCUUGAUUUCCAGAAGGUGUGAUUGAUUUUUAUUUAUACUCUCUAUUUCACUGAAGAAUCUCCUUUCAUAUUCUGUAUCAUCUUUUUUAUUUAUUUAAGUUAGACUUCACCUUUUUCUGGUGCAUCCUUGAUUAGCUUAAUAAUUGACUUUCUGAAUUCUUUUUCUGUCAAUUCAGAGAUUUCAUCUUGGUUUGAAUCCAUUGCUGAUGAGCUGGUAUGACCUUUUGGGAUGUUAAAGAAACUUCUUUUGUCGUAUUAUCAGAAUUGCUUUUCUGGUUCCUUCUCAUACAGGUAGCCUAUGUUGGAGGAAAGAUCUGGGACUCAAGGGCUGAUGUUCAGAUUCUUUUGUCCCACAGGAUGCUCCAUUGAUGUGGUGUUUUCUCCCUUCCCCUGGGAAUGAGGCUUCCUGAGAGCCAAAUUGUAGUGACUGUUUUUGCUAUUCUGGGUUUAGCCACCCAGUGGAGCUACUGAGCUCCAUGCUGGUACUCAGGAGUAUCUGCAAAAAGUCCUGUGAUGUGAUCUGUCUUCAGGUCUUGCAGCUGUGGAUACUGGCCCCUGCUCCAGUGAUGGUAGCAAGGAAGUAAAGUGGGCUCUGUAGGGUCCUUGGUUGUGUUUUGCUUAGUGCACUAAUUCUGUGUUGGUUGGCCUCCAACCAGGAGGUGGCCCUUUCAAGAGUGCAUCAGCUGUGGUCCUAUAGGGAGGAUGCAAACUUGCCCUAGGGAGACCAGGUUAAGUAUUCAGUUUCUCAGGUGGUUGGCAGGGCCAUAGAGUUCCCGAGAGAUUAUAACCUUUGUCUUUGGCUACUAGGGUGGGUAGAGAAAGACCACCAGAUGGGGGCAGGGAUAGUGUGUCUGAGGGCAGCCUCUCCUUGGUCAGGGCUUGCUGCAGCUGCUGUGGGGAAUGGGAGUGUGGUUCCCAGUCCAAUUGAGUUAUAUUCCCAGGGGGAUUGUGGCUGCCUCGGCUGAGUAAUACAGGUCACCAGGGAAGUGGGAAAAGCUGGCAGUCACAGGCCUCACCCUGCCGCCAUGCAGCCCACAGUCCUAGAGGCUGCUCUCAUUUCCACCAUGCCCUCCCAGUAGCACAGUAGAGUCUAUUGGCAGGCAGCAGGUGAUCAGAGAUGACAACUUGCCCCAGGUCAUAAGGCUCCCUGUUGAGAAAGCAAACAGAUUCACAGGUUUUUGGCAUCUCAGGGAACCUGAAGCUGUGAUCCAGUUCCUUCAAAGGGUCUAUGGAUCUCUUUGAUGGCUGAUCCAAGAGAUCCAAGAUGGCUGAUCGCUAACAGUUCGGGAUUGUAGCUCCCAGUGAAAGUGCAGAGAACGAGAGGAUGCCACACCUUCAGAUGAAUUUUCGUCACUCACGGACCAGAAGAUUCCCAGUGGAGGGGCCCCACGGGUCGCCAAGGCGACUCUUGUGGCUGGCGCAGCGGUUUUGCCGGAGCCUCGGCAUGGCAGUUCUUCAUGCAGAGUAAAUGGGAGGAGAUUCCCGGGCAGAAGAGCACCAUCAGUCUUAUUGCUGCUGUUUUGGCCGGCACAGUGGGUUGCUUGGAUUCCAGCACUGGGAAUUAAUAAACUGGGCAUCCACUCAGAAACCCAACUAGAAAGGCGGUAAUUGUAAAGACGACAGAUGGAAAAAUUUAUAACAAAGGGAAGAAACCAGCCUAAAAAGGCUGAGAAUACCCAAAAUCAGAACCCCUCUCCCUCUACAGGGGAUUACAGUUCCUCAUCAGCAAUGGAACAAGCCCUGAUGGAAAAGGACUGUGUGCCAUUAUCAGAAGUAGGCUUCAGAAGGUGGAUGAUAAGAAACUUCUGGGAGUUAAAAGAACUUGUUCUAACCCAAUGUAAAGAAACUAAGAACUUUGAAAAAAGGUUUGACGAAAUGCUAACAAGAAUAGACAAUAUAGAGAGGAAUAGAAAUGAACUAAUGGAGUUGAAAAACACAACACAAAAACUGAGCGAAAUAUGCACAAGUUUGAAUAGCCGAAUUGAUCAAGCAGAAGAAAGGAUAUCAGAGGUCAAAGACCUACUUAAUGAAAUAAAACGAGAAGACAAGAAUAGAAAAAAAAGGAUAAAAAAGAAUGAGCAAAGUCUCCAAGAAAUAUGGGACUAUGUGAAAAGACCUAAUUUACAUUUGAUAGGUGUACCUGAAUACGACGAAGAGAAUGAAUCCAAGCUGGAAAAUACCUUUCAGGAUAUUAUUCAGGAAAAUUUUCCGAAUCUAGCAAAGCAGGUCAAUAUUCAAUCCCAGGUAAUACAGAGAACACCACAAAGAUAUUCCUCAAGAAGAGCAACCCCAAGGCACAUAAUCGUUAGAUUCACCAGGGUUGAAACGAAGGAGAAAAUACUAAGGGCAGCCAGAGAGAAAGGUCAGGUUACCCACAAAGGGAAGCCUAUUAAACUUACAGCAGAUCUCUCAGCAGAAAUCCUACAAGCCAGAACAGAGUGGGGGCCAAUAUUCAACAUCCUCAAAGAACAGAACCUUCAGCCCAGAAUUUCAUAUCCAGCCAAACUAAGCUUCACAACUGAAGGAAAAAUAAUACCUUUUGUGAACAACCAAGUACUCAGAGAUUUUAUUACCACCAGGCCUGCUUUACAAGAGCUUCUGAAAGAAGCAUUACACAUAGAAAGGAACAACCAGUAUUAGCCUUUCUAAAAAUAUACCAAAAAGUAAAGAGCAUCAACAUAAAGAAGAAUUUACAUCAACAAAUGGAUAAAACAGCCAGUUAACAUCAAAUGGCAGUAACCCUAAAUUUAAGUCGACUAAAUCUCCCAAUCAAAAGAUACAGCCAAAACCUAACAAUAUGCUACAUCCAGACCCAUUUCACAUCCAAAGAUACACAAAGACUUAACACAAAGGGAUGGAGAAAGAUUUACCAACAAAAUGGAGAGCAAAACUAAAUAAAUAAAAAGCAGGAGUUGCAAUUCUCACAUCUGAUAAAAUAGAUUUCAAAGCAACAAAGAUAUAGUGGUAAAAGGAUCAAUGCAACAAUAAGAGCUAAUGAUCCUAACACCCAGAUACAUAAGACUCAUAAAGAGAUUUAGACACAACAAGACAGAAAAUUAAUAAGGAUAUCCAGGACUUGAACUCAGAUCCGGAACAAGUAAACUCAAUAAAUAUUUAUAGAGCUCUCCAUUUUAAAUACACAAAAUAUACAUUCUCCACCUUACACACACACACCACACACACACACACACACACACACACACACACACACACACACAGGGUCUGUGGAUUCCCUUGGCUUUCCCAGAAUGUUCCUGCAUAGUUCUUGGAGCAAAAGUUUACGAUGUGAGUCUCCAGAGCUGGAGGUAUAAGCUAGUCCUGCCUCCUCUCUGCCAUCUUAUCCAGUAUGCCUCUCUCUUUCUUUGUCUUUCUCUCUCUCUUACACACACACACACACACACACACACACACACACACACACACACACAGAUUUCUCCUCUGUCUUCUUGGUGCAGCCUCCUCACCACUCCCCUAGGAGAAUGAAAUGCUUUUCAUAAAGAAACUGAGGAUGCCUGAAGCCCCUUGGAAUGCCAUGACUUCAGGCUCCCUGCUCUCCAGACAGCAGUCCUCACACUAUUAUUCACAGCAAUGCAAGGAGACAGAACUGGAAGGUCAUUUACAGACACCUGUCUGAUUUUCAAAGUGUACUCUCAGGGCUUCCUGGGGAACCCACAACACUGAGUGUUCAGUAGGACCAGAGACACCAAUAAACAGCGGCCCUUUAUGUGUGACUCACUGGGGAGAGCAGCCAGCUGCCUUUUGAAUACAAAGAUGCUUCAUAGCAUUCCAAGGCAUCUUCUUUCUCAUGGUCACAUUACCCAGGGCCUUUCUCCUCAGUUCAACUUUGCAAUGUUCAGGUUGAACAAAAUGCAACAGAGUCCCAGUAGAACUCAUAUAAGGAACUCCUUUGAGGAUUGUGCAGAGAAGAACUAAAACCUACAGUGUCAACUUGGAAGAAAACAAGGAAGGCAUCCAUUUUCCUUUCUUUCAUACCUGAAAUUCAAUAAUUGACGUCUUAGGGAAACUAGAAUGGCACUAAUCUGAGCUAAGCCUAUGACAAAAUGAAAUUUUUCCAUCCUACUGCCUGGCCAGCUUCUAUUUAUCCUUCAAAUUCCUGUUUGGGCAUCACCAACCAAGGUAUUUCAAUGGAUUGCUCCUGUUCUCUAUCCCUCCCUUCAUGCUGAGACUAUGCAUCCACCCUCUGCCUGAUAACUGUGUCACCCUCCACUAGAGUGAGAAGCAUGUAUUUCUCUACUCCAUGGAUGUUGAGUUAGGACAUUUUCAUUUGUUCUGGCUGAUGACACGUGGACAGACAUGGGAUCAUGACAAUUUCAAACCAAGCCUUUAGAGACAUGGCAUAUGUCCUCUUGCAUUCCUGCCAUCUGCCAUGGGAAUAUGUCCUGGAGUAGUCACUGGUUCAAAGUGGAUGAGAACCCCAUGAGCAAGUCUGAUCCCCUUCCUACCAAUGACCUUCAGACCAUGGGUGAAAAAAAAAUGUUAUUGCAAGCCACCAAGUUUUGGGAUGGUUUGUUGUGCAACAUGACUGCCUCUAGUGAACCCUUCCCAGCCCCUUCGCCCCAUAGCCAUCUACACACAUUGCCACUUGCUCUCAAUCACCUUUGCACCUCCCACAAAUGGACAGGGGCACAUGCUUUUCAGCUGUAUUGUGGCAGUGCUGCGCAUGUCUGCCUCAACCAGCCAGGCACCUCUUCUCAGUGAUAGCCCAACAUGGACAGUAGAUACUUAAAUGUUUAUCGAACCCAAAUGAAUCCAAAAAGAACUCACUGAAUUUUGCAUUAAAUCUCAUCAUUCUUUUAAGUCAUAUGUUUCUGAGUCCUAAUAAAUAUUUUAGCCCUUUCAUGAGUAGACUGUUAUCGGAAAGGGACUUGCCUUUCUUUCUAGAUGUUUAGGUCUUUAUUCUGAGCACCUCCUAACAGACCUUGAGUUUACAUUCUUUCUAAUCAGUAUCAGAUAUUAGAAUAUUUUCAUUACUCCAUAAUUUCACUUUCUUCACAAACAGCAUUGAGGAACUAUUAUAACACAAGAAAACUAGAUUUUCACUGCCAAUGUUGGGUUCUUAGUAAGAAUAUAAGUAGCCCUUUGCCAAACACAGUCUGUACAUUUUCACUAGCCUUUUCAUUUCUACAUAUGUGGCUAAAAUGAGACAGAGAAUGCCUUGAUAUCAUUAAUAACCUUUCUCUCUCUCCAAAUUAUGAUUCUUCCUGAGAUAUUCUCAUUCUCUUCUCUCCACACCUGCAUCCAUGUUCCUUCUCUUCUGUAACCAGAAAUCUAGUUCUCUUCUGCCUCCUCUCUUGAGCACUGAACCUAUAUCCUUCCUAAAAAGUCUCUGCCCUUUCCUCUCUCUCCCAGUGGCCCCCACCAACACCACAGCGCCCCCUUGCAGCCGCCUCUGCCAGUGCACCCCAGACUUCCAGCUGGCUCCAGGAAGGGCAAACCCUGGGAGCUGCUGUUGCUUCUGAAGUUUGUUUAUUUGGGGCAGAAAAUGAGAUAUGAAAAGUAUGAGAGAACUGCUGUGGACAGGCAAUAUAUGGGUGUGACAAAUGUUGGAAAGGAGAGUUAUACAAUGCCACUGUUACUGGAAAGAGGUCCUGGUCCAGACCCCAAGAGAGGAUUCUUGGACCUUGCAGAAGAAAGAAUUCAGGGCAAGUCCAUAGAGUAAAGUGAAAGCAAGUUUAUUAAGAAAGUAAAGGAAUAAAAGAAGGGCUACUCCAUAGGCAGAGCAGCAGCAUGGGCUGCUCGACUGAGUAUACUUAUAGUUAGUUACUCCUUGAUUACAUACCAAAUGAGGAGUGGAUUAUUCAUUUAUUGGGAAAGGGGUGGGCAAUUCCCGGAACUGAGGGUUUUUUCCCUUUUAGACUAUAUAGGGUAACUUCCUGAUGUUCCACAGCAUUUGUAACUGUCAUGGAGCUGGUGGGAGUGUCUUUUAGCAUGCUAAUGUAUUGUAAUCAGCAUAUAAUGAGCAGUGAGGAUGACCAGAGGUCACUUUCAUCACCAUCUUGGUUUUGGCGGGUUUUGGCCAGCUUCUUUACUGCACCCUUUUAUCAGCAAGGUCUUUGUGACCUUUAUCUUGUGCUGACCUUAUAUCUCAUCCUAACCUCCUGGGAAUGCAGCCCAGUAGGUCUCAGCCUUAUUUUACCCAGCUCCUAUUCAAAAUGGAGUGUCUCUGGUUCAAAUGCCCCUGACACCAGCAGAAACUAGUCAGAGACAUGAGGAAGCUCUUCCCUGAGGAGGUUACAUGUAAGCCGAGAGAUGGAGAAUAUGUUUCCCAGACAGAGAAGGGUGGGCACAGCAUUAGCCAAGGUCAUGUGCUAUGAGUCAGAAAAGCCAGACCAAACAGGAGGCAUGACAUUGUGUUUGGAUUUCAGGGGAAAAAAUAUCUAUCAAAAUUCACUUCUUAAAAAAAGAUAGUAGAUAAGUAUUUAAAUAACACAUUAAACUUAUACCAUUAUAUUGAUGUUACCACAGAUAACCCCAUGAUAAAGGUAUAUACUUUAUUUCAAAAUAUUCAAUUUAGAGAAAACAGUACCGAUGAUAUCAAUACAUAGCAAAAGGAAAACUCAUUAUUGUACACAAAUGACUGAUAUUUAGGAAACAUAAUUUUACUGUAGCCAUUAAAAUAUAAUUUACCAUGGAUGGCAUUUUGAGAUAAAGUUUUUAUUUUGGAAUAACUAGAUUUUACAGAAGAAUUUCAAAGAAAGUACAGGGUGCUCUUGUAUACAUCUCACCGUAACAUUUGAUUUCAUUUCCUCCAACGUUAUUAUCUACAUCACCAUGGUACAUUUGUCAAAACUAAGAAACUAACAUUGAUACAUUAUUAUGACAUAAACUCCAAAUGCAUUCACAUUUUAUGAAUUUUCCCAUUAAUGUUCCUUUUCUGUUCCAGAAUUCCAUCAAGGGCACCACACUGCCUUUACAUGUCACAUCUUACUCUCCUCUGGCCUAAGUAUCUCAGUCUUUUCUUGUUUCUGAUGACUGUGACCUUUUUGAGGAGUCCUAGCCAGGUAUCCUAUAAAACAUACCCCAAUCUGGAUCAUCUGAUGUUUCUCAUGAUUAGACUGGUGUUAGGGUUUUUGAAAAGAAAUCACUUUUUAACACAUUAUUCUGCAGUAGAAAGAGAACAGUAUAAGUUUCCAACACCAAAAUCAAAAAUGGAUUUUUUAUGGCCUUUGAAUCAAAGGGGAUCAGAAUAUGCCAAUCCCAAGUAUGCCACUUUGGCAUAAGAAUUAUUUUGAACUAAAGCCAAUUAAGAAAGAUCAGACAGGGCAUGCCCCGGUGGCUCACACCUGUAAUCCUAGCAUUUUGGAAGGCUUGAGGUGGGUGGAUUGCUUGAGCCCAGGAGUUUGAGACUAGCCUGGGCAACAUGACAAAAACCCAUCUCUAAAAAAAAAUACAAAAAUUAGCCAGGUAUGGUGGCACAUGCAUGUGGUCUCAGCUACUCAAGAGGCUGAGGUGGGAGGAUCACUUGAGCCCAGGAAUUUGAGGCUACAGUGAGCUAAGAUCAUGUCACUGCACUGCAGCCUGGGUGACAGAGUGAGACCCUGACUCAAAAAUUAAAAAAAAGGAAAAGAAAAAGAAAAAUUAGAUGUGUAAGGAACACUCCCCUCUUCCUUACUGACUAAAAGAAAAACUAAAUUUCCCUUUGUGAAGGUGUUUCUCCUGCCCUCUUUAUACUAGGAAGAGAACAUAACUCUUAUUAUUAGAGAUGGCAUAGACUUGAGUCUGCAUAACAAACCUUAUAAACAGCCCCUGUCUUCCAUUAGUUUUUCCCUUAUAUUUACCUUCCCAUAAUUUACCACACCUAGAAGCUCAAACACAUUUUUGUUGUUUUGUCACUUCUCCAUAAUUUUUUGCCUUUUGUUAAAAUGGUAUAUAAACUCCCAGGGCUAACUGCUUUUUGGAGUUUUCACUUCUUUUCUAUGAGGCUCCCCCUAUACAUAUGAAGUAUGCCACUUGUCUUGUUAAUCUGUCUUGUGUCAGUUUAAUGUUCAGGCCUGUUACUAGACUUAAGAGAGCAGAGGAAAACACUGCUGAAUCAAUUAUAACAACUGGUAGAUUUUGGUGAUUAUCAUUAAUUUCCAUAGUAUUAUUUUGUAAAUUUUCUAAAAAAUAAUUCACAAGCAUUUGAAACAAACUACAUCAUAUGAGAAGUCAUAAAGUGUGUGAUUAAAAAAAAAAGUAAAACAAGUUCAUUGGUAGCAGAACCAUUAUGAGGAGUCCUAGCCAGCUAUCCUACAAAACAUCCUCAAUCUGAAUUGUCUGAUGUUUUCUCAUUAUUAGACUGGUGUCAGGAGUUUUGGAAAGAAGUCACUUUUUAAGAUGUUAUUCUGUAAUAGAAAGAAAACAGAAGGCUGGGUACAGUGGCUCACACCUGUAAUCCCAGCACUUUGGGAAGCCAAGACAGGUGGAUCACGUGAGGUCAGGAGUUUGAGACCAGCCUGGCCAACAUGCUGAAACCCCAUCUCCACUAAAAUACAAACAUUAGCCAGGCAUGGUGGUGCAUGCCUGUAAUUCCAGGCCAAGACAGGAGAAUAGUUUGAACCUGGGAAGUGGAGGUUGCAGUGAGCCAAGAUCGUGCCACUAUACUCCAGACUGGGCAACAAAGCAAGAUCUGUCUCAAAUAAAAAAGAAAGAAAGAAAGAACACAGAAAGUUUCCAACAUCAAAAUCAAAACUGGAUGUUUUUAUGGCCUUUGAAUUAAGCCAUUGUUCAGUAAAUUCUAUUGAACAAUGACUGAAAAGGAAAAGAUAUAUAUGUUCAUUGGGGUUUUGUCUUUGGUCUUGUAUCUACGUAGUAAGUGCUUUAAUGUUUGGAGGCCAAUCUUCUGUUCUCGAAGGAGAAACUCAUAUUUGUGUGUGGAAGGGAUUCCUUAUAGAAUAAGGGCUUCUAGGUCUUUCUUUCACAGGUGGAGCAUCAGAGGAGGGGUACUGAGCAAGCUGUAUGGCUAGGGAGUAGUGAAGAUCUCUGCUCCCCAACCCCAUGCAGAACCUGAAGGUCAGAGUAAGGAAAUGUUAUUUUUAUUCAAACCAGCUAUGCAUAUAAAGCAGAAAUUUUUGCUAAUCUGAAGUAUGCCACAUUGGCAUAAGCAUUCUUUUUUUUUUUUCUUAAGAUGGAGUUUCACUGUCACCCAGGCUAGAGUGCAGUGGUACAAUCUGGCUCACUGCAACCUCCCUGUCCCAGGUUCAAGUGAUUCUCCUGCCUGAGCCUCACAAGCAGCUGAGAUUACAGGUCCCCACCACCACACCCAGCUAAUUUUUGUAUUUUUACUAGAGACAGGGUUUCACCACAUUGGCCAGGCUGGUCUUGAACUCCUGACCUCAGGUAAUCCGCCCGCCUCAGCCUCCCAAAGUCCUGGGAUUACAGGCAUGAGCCAGCAGGCCUGGCCGCAUAAGGAUUCUUUUAAGCUAAAGGAAAAAAAAAAAAAAGAUGCAAAAAGAAGAUUUCUCAGCAUUUGCCUUAUCUGACUAAAUGCAGAAACUUCUGAGAAAUGAGGACUGCCAUAAAUACCUUCUCCUAAGGGAAGUUUAUGGCCAUGAAAAUGAUGAAAAGCCAGCACCAAGAUGGACCUGCAUAAACAAACCUCACUCCAUUAGUUUCCCCACACACUUACCUUCCCACAGUUUGCUGCCCUUAGAGGUCUAAACCUGUUUUCUUUUGUCUUGUCACUUCUCUAUAAUUUAUUUUCUUUGCUAAGAUGUUGUGUAAGCCAAGUUCUAAGCACCGCUUUGAGUUACUCAUCAUGGAGGUGUCUCCCAUGGGAUGUACACUGCUCAGCACACAUUAGUAAACUUUCUCUCGUGUUGAUCUUUUGUCGGUCUAAUUUGCAGGGCCUCAGGCAGAGGAAAAGUGUUUCCUCCCCUACAGUCUCAAACUUCAGCGUGCAUCAGGAUCCCCCACAGGGCUUGAUAACACACAGAUUGCUGGCCACCCCCAGAGUUUCUGAUCCAGUAGGUCUGGGUAGAGGUCUGAGAAUUUGCAUUUCUACCAUGUUUCUGGUGAUACUGAUGUUGCUGAUCUCAUCCAGAAACCACAUGUAUACAAGAAAGGACACUAUAAGUAUGAAGUCACCUCCUAAUUAACUCUGGGACCUAGGUCAGGUGAUAUCUCUCUGGAGUCCUUCUGCUUCUCCUCUCCUAAAAUCCUGUUAUCUUUUUAGUCUCCCCAUGUUUGGCACCGCUGGACAAUGUGCAGAGAAGAAAGCUACAGGCCAUGUACCCAAAGGCAAGGACCAGCCUUUGUGCUCCUUCGGUUCCUGUGAAAGAAGGACCUGGAGGCAGGGGGUUUAUAUGGAGACAAGCUCAGCCAGCAGGAGUAGGGGAGCAGGGAGAGCAAGAUGGGGAAGGAGAAAACUCCAACAUCAGAGCGUGUUAUUGUGGCCCCUCGACUCUCUGGGACCUCUGAAAAGGUGAAUGCCUUCCAAAAUUGUCCACGAGAAAGAUGGGAGGCCAUGGCAUUAUCCACCAGCUACACCCCACUGGUCUAGGGUUGUCUGGGGGCAUUAGUCCUCCUGUACUUGCAGAGCAAGACAGCUCCCACAGUACCAGUUGAGAAAGCCCAGGGGAGAAGGUAGGUGAUUGAGUCAUGGCUCUGGUGAGGCAGAUUUCCCAGGGGACUGUCCAGCAGCUAUAGAAGAAGUCAGAGGUGGACCUAAGGGGCAUGAAAUAGGCAAAAGUGGGGUCUGCCACCUGGCUGUAAGUUCAGCCAGGGCUGAGAAGGCCCAGAUUUUUACAGGUGCUGCAGGCUCUUCUUCCAGGCCCUUAAAAAGAGCUUUCUCCGGGUCAGGUGCCAUGGCUCACACCUGUAAUCUCAGCACUUCGGGAGGUCAAGGCAGGCGGAUUACCUGAGGUCGGGAGUUCAAGACCAGCCUGACCAACAUGGAGAAACCCUGUUUCUACUAAAAAUACAAAAUUAGCUGGGCAUGGUGGCACAUGCCUGUAAUCCCAGAUACUCGGGGGGAGGCUGAGGCAGGAGAAUCACUUGAACCCAGGAGGCGGAGGCUGCAGUGAGCCGAGAUCACACUCCAGCCUGGGCAACAAGAGUGAAACUCCAUAUCAAAAAAAAAGCUUUCUCCAACUGCACAUUCAUACUCUUAGCAGCACUAUUCGCAGCAGCCAAGAGGUGCAAGCAACCCGUGUCCAUCCGCAGAGGUAGGGAUAAACAAAAUGCAGUACAGAAAAACAAUGAAAUAUUAUUAAGCUUUAAAGUGCAAGGAGGGCCAGGCAUGGUGGCUGACACCUGUAAUCCCAGCACUUCGGGAGGCCAAUUCAGGCACAUCACUUACGGCCAGGGAGUUCAAGACCAGCCUGGCCAACAAAGUGAAACCCUGUCUCUACUAAAGAUUCAGAGUUUAGCCAGGCAUGGUGGUAUGCACUGUAAUCUCAGCUACUCGGGAGGCUGAGGCACAAGAAUCACUUGAACCUAGGAGGCAGAGUGCCAACUGAGAUGGUGUCACUGCAUUCCAGCUGUCUCAAAAAGAAAGAGAGGUGGUGGUGGUGGGCUUCCUUAAGCACAGAAUCUGGUAGAACCCACAGCCCCAGGACACAGGCUUGUUUCUCCUUAGCCUCAUGACUUUAUUUGCCUGUCUGCCACAAGUCCUCAUGUUUCACAAGUAACCGUCACUCAUGGUUGAAUAGGAAGUGAGGCUACAGAUCCCCUUUUCUCGAAUUAUGUUAUUUGAGGCCACCUACAAUGCCCCUCUUUAUAAUUCUUUAUGCCAAAUUUAGCAAAGCCCCAAGGUGAGGUCCCAGGACUGGCAUCCUCUGACAACUAGCUAGAAAUGCGAAUCAGAGUCCUUGGAGUAGGGCCCAGAGAUUGAACCCUUGAUAAAUGUGUGUUUUGACAAGCCCUCCACAUGUUUCUGAUACACCCCUAUGGUUUGUGAAGGAUGGCCUCAGAUGUCAAUUUUUCAGAUAUGUAUUUUGUUAAAGUAGUAAAGAAUGGAUUUUUCACCUUGCUAUGGUUUCCAUGUGUCCCCCAAAGUUCAGGUGUUGAAAAUUUGAUCCUCUAUGUGCAAUAUUGGAAGGUAAGACCUUUAAGAGGUGUUUAAGUCAUUAGUUUUCCCGCCUUAAGUGUGAAUUCAUGCCAUUAUCAUGAAAGUGGGUCUCUUACGAAAGGAGGACCUCAGCCUUCUCUUGCGCACGCUCUCUCUCUCUCCCCCCUGCCCCCCACUUUCUGUGUCCUCCUGUCUUCCACUAUAGGAUGAUGCCGCACAAAGGCCCUCAUCAGAUGCUGGCCCUUUGAUCUUGGACUUCCAAACCUCUAUGACUAUGAGAAAUACAUUUCUGCUCUUUACAAAUUACCCAGGCUGUCAUAUUCUGUUUAGCAGCACAGAAUAAACUAAGACACACCCCCAAUUUAAAAAAUACAUCAUUAUGGAUUGCCUGCUAUUAUAAUUACUGUAAAAUGUUCUUAUCACUUAUUCAGAAUCAGGAUAAGUUUCACUGCUCUUUUUGCAAACCACAAGCUAGCAAAAUAUCUCCCAUAAACACUUGCAGGAUCCCUCAGCAGACGAGAAAUCAUUUCAUAACAUAAUCCAAAUUCAGAGCCAUCUCAGGAUAAGUUUCGGAAGCCUCUCCUUGCUGGGCGUAUGUUUCUUUACAUUGUCUUCACUUACUCUGUCUCUCUCUCCUGGUGACCAGAAAUAGAAAGCAGACAGUGAGAAGGUCACAAAGUCCUGCUAUACUUCUGGCUUUACAAAUAGUCCUGUGAGGAAGACAUUUAUGUCCUAUGAUUUGGUAAUUCCCCUCUAAAACAUGUCCCAUUUAGAAACAAAAACAAGGAUUGAUACUUGUUGAUAAUAACAACAGAAAUGAGAAACAAUCUGAAUAACCAAUGUUCUGGGAAUAGCUACAUGAAUAAUGUAUAUACAACCACACAGUGAAAUACUAUUAAGUCAUAAAAUAAUGUUUACAGGGAGUUACAGUGAAGUCAUAAAAUGCUUAUGAUAUAGAGUUAAGCGAGAAAGCAGAAUAUGAAAUUGUGUGUAUAGUAUGAUCUCAAACAUGUAAAUAAAAAGGAUGAAAAUAUUCUAAGGAAAUAGUAAAAAUGUCAAAAUAUUAACAAUGGUUACUAUAAUAAUUAUUAAUUUUUGGUGAAGAGAUCGUGAGAAUGUUCUUGUCCUUUAAACUUUCUGUGCUUUCUCUGAAGGAAUCCAUUUGAGUUUCACUCCCUGGAGGAAAAUUGACACAAGAAUCAUUUCUCUUUUUAUUCAUUGGUUCAAGAAGUUCCGGGUUCCACCUCCAAAAAUAGUUUUGUGACUCCUUGGUCACCAGUUAAAUUUAUAUGACAGACACCGGUUGUGUUGUGUGGCUGCCCUGUAUCUGCCUGUGUGAACCUCCUUUUUCUCAUGGAUGAAUGUCCCCCAUGGUCGCCCACCCCCAGGGAAGAGCCAGGUACUCUGUUGUAGGAUCCAGGCACCUACAGCCAGGAGCUGUCCAUCCAGGAGAGAGUGAUGCGGGAGACAGCAGAGGCACUCGGCCCCACGUGAUCAGGACUUGGUCAGUAGCUGCUAGCUUCCCCAAAUUGAAUUUUAUUUCUUUUUUAUUUUCAUUAUCUUUAUUCAUUUAUUUAUUUAUUUUUUGAGAUGGAGUUUUGCUCUUGCUGCCCAGGCUGGAGUGCAAUGGCAUGAUCUCGGCUUGCUGCAACCUCCACCUCCGGGAUGCAAGUGAUUCUCCUGCUUCAGCCACACGAGUAGUUGCAACUACAGGCACAUGCCACUGUGCCCAGCUAAUUUUGUAUUUUUAGUAGAGAUGGGUUUUCACCAUGUUAUCCAGGCUGAUCUCAAACUCCUGACCUCAGGUGAUCCACCCACCUCAGCCUCCCAAAGUGCUGGGAUUGCAGGCAUGAGCCACCACAUCUGGCCUUAUUAGUUUUUUUGGAGAUGGAGUCUUGUUUUCUUGCUCAGGCUGCUCUCUAACUCCUGGGCUCCAGCCAUCCUCCCAUAGGCUCUCUCAUAGCUAGGAUUAUAGAUGCGUACCACCUCAGUGGGCUACUACCAAAUAUUUGCCUCUGCUUCCAACUCAGGACCGACCUGAAAAAGCCCCAUAUGCUCUCUAACCAAUCCCAUAGGAUGCUCCAUCUCUAAUUCAUCCACCAUGCCAACAGUCUCCAAUCAGGGCAUCCCCAAAGCUUAUCAGCACACAGCUUCCCCACUCCCCUGCCUGCUUUUGAGCCUCUGCCAAGUGCAAGUGAUGGGGCAUGACUCCCUCAUUAUACCAUGCUUUGAGUCAAUAGCCUCUGGUUAUUCUCACUGAGGGAGCUUCAGUUACUCCCACCCGGAAAGGCAGUAGGGGGGUAGCUGGGGGACCACAGUGCCCAGUGAUAGCUCUGUGGGUGGGUGCCUGGCCCUGAAGUAGUGGAGUGUUCCCUGGGACAUCCUAUGGUGUAGCUGACACUCUGGCCCUCCCAGAAGCUUUGUGAGCCCCCUAAUAUUCUAUAAUAAUCCCCUUUCUGCUUCGUUCAGCUAACAGGUACCGUUGGGCUCACUGCCAAGAAUGCUGGUAAAAUCUAACAUCCAACACUAUCUGCCUUUUGGGACAGACAGCCCCCACCAAGGUCUGGGUAUUGCAGUGGCAGCAGAAAAUAUGUGCAGUUGAGGUCCAGAUGCCCUUCCAGUGCUGGCUGCGGGGGAUCUUGCUUUUCUCUGGUGCAGCCUCGUCAAAGUUGGGAGAAGGCCUCAGAGUUCUCAAGGGCAGAGCCUCUGAAGGCAUCAUGGAGAAGUCCAGAUCUUUGCUGUCUUUAUGAUCCUCAGUAAAUGGAUCUAUUCUCAUGAUCUCAGCCAUCUUCCUCUUUCCAUAGGUUGGUUUCAGGCUGAGCAAGAAAAUGAGACUCUAUCUCUAAAAAACCUAAUAAGGGCAGGCAUGGUGGCUCAUGCCUGCAAUCCCAGCACUCUGCGAGGCCAAGGUCAGGCUUGGGGUGAUACCUGGCAGCAGCAGGUGUAAUCUUACCACCUCAGGCCAUCCUGUAUGUUCAUUGCAUUGAAGGGGAAUUGACUUCACUGUGGACUUCACUCUUGACAUGAGUGACUCCAUUUGGAGACAUUAGGAUCAUAAAUCAUGACAUCACUCACAUGGGCUACUCUGAGGUUUGUGUUCUGCACUCUCUCCCAGGCUUGCCCAGGGGGACCAGGCAGAGGUGCCUUUUAUUGGCUUCCUUCCCUGAGUCACAUUUCCACUCCACAGUAGGGACACCUCGAAUCACCUCCCACUGAAAUGCUCGAACCUGGGUCCUCUCCUCAGGGUUGGCUUCUGGGGAUGCCCAUACCUUCACAGAUACAGAAAUUUUCUUUCUUUCUUUUUUUUUUUUUUGAGACGGAGUUUCGCUCUUUGUUACCCAGGCUGGGGUGCAAUGGUAUGAUCUCGGCUCAUCGCAACCUCCGCCUCCUGGGUUCAAGCAAUUCUCCUGCCUCAGCCUCCCGAGUAGCUGGGAUUACAGGCAUGCAUCACCAUGCCAAGCUAAUUUUUUGUAUUUUUAGUAGAGACGGGGUUUCACCAUGUUGACCAGGAUGGUCUCAAUCUCUUGACCUCGUGAUCCACCCGCCUCGGCCUCCCAAAGUGUUGGGAUUACAGGCUUGAGCCACCGCACCCGGCCAGAUCCAGAAAUUUUCUAACUACUUUCUCUGGUGUCAGCUCUUAUCUUUUCUAGGUAUUCCCCCUGCUUUAAGUACUGGUGAUGUUCAGUAAGAAUUAUUAACUAAUCAGUGCACUUAAAUUCUGCCCAAUUUUCCCACCAAAUAAGUUAUUUUUGCAGCUGGUGUUAUUUCUCAACUCCUGAACUUAAACUUUUCUUUCUCUCACCACCAGAAUAAGGAAUAGUACCAACAGUACUCUCUUUAGGCCAGGAGUCACAAACUCAGAUACCUUCCAGGACCCAGCUGGUAAUAUUUUUGUGUAUAGGGGCACAUAUAAGGCAACAGGGAGGAUGGAACGUGGGACAGCCUGAAAAGGACUGUGACACAAAGUUUAUAAAGCCAUCUUUCUGGAUAAACAAGACAACUGAGGUGGGCCUGUGGGUCGAGAUUCCACCUUCUAGAUUUAGGUAUUUUGUAGGAAACAUUUCUUUCUCUUCUGUUUUUUGGGUCUUCCCAAGGACCAUGUCUAAAAAUGGUCUUACUUUCCAGUCCUGGGCACAUAGCACCCAAAAAAGAUUUAUCAUGUUCUGGAACUCCAGUUUUAAAUACACUUACCUCUGCUCAAGCAGUCUGAUAUACUCUGGGAGUCAAAAACAUUGUGUUGAAUGAGUCUAUUUUUACCUCCUAACCAAUGCCCUUGUUCAGUGACGCACCCCAACCCUAUGUACACACAGGUAUUGCUGAGGAGGAGGCAUAGGGUGGCCAACUAUUUUAGUUUGCACAGGACUGAAGAGGGGCUGGGAGAUGUGGGACUUACAAUACUAAUACCAGGGAAGUUCUGAACAAACCAGGAUGAGUCGUUCACCCUAGAUGUGGGCCUCAGCAGCCACGUGCAUACUGCAUGUCCCAACCCUCUACUCUAGCCAUAGCUGAUAGGACCAUAGCAGACACCUGACUGAAGAGAUGCCAACCCCUAGCCUUGGCUGAGCCAGUCAGAUUCUCUUUCUAGGACUGGAGAGAAACAGGGAAUUAUAGGAUAUGGACCUUUUUUUUUCUUUUUGAGACGGAGUUUCACUCUUGUUGCCCAGGCUGGAGUACAAUGGUGUGAUCUCGGCUCACUGCAGCUUCCGCCUCUUUUCAACAAAUGGAGCUGGGACAACUGGAUAUCUACAGAGUCUUACUGUCUCCCAGGCUGGAGUGCAGUGGCACAAUCUUGGCUCAUGGCAACCUCCGCCUCUCAGGUUCAAGUGAUUCUCCUGCCUCAGCCCCCCAAGUAGCAGAGAUUACAGGUGAUUGUAUUAGUAUUUAUUAGACUUCAAAGUCUGUGUUUGAACAAUCCAAGAUGGCCGAUCGCUAACAUCUCGGGAUUGCAGCUCCCAGUGAAACCUCAGAGAAAGAGAGGACGUCACACUUUCAGACAAAUUUUGGUCACUCAUGGAGCAGAAGAUUCCCAGUGGAGGAGCUCCAUGGGUCGCCAGCGCAACUCUUGUGGCCGGCGCAGCGGUUUCACCAGCACCUCGGCGCGGCAGCUCUCGGUGCAGAGUAAACGGGACUGGUUCCCCUUCUGACCGAGGUUUGGAGGAGCCAAACGGGUCGCCAGCGCAACUCUUGUGGCCGGUGCAGUGGUAUCGCUGGCACCUUGGCGUGGCAGCUCUUGGUGCAGAGUAAACGGGACUGGUUCUCCUUCUGACCGACGUUUGGAGCUCUGGGAAGGCAGAGUCGCCUAUUACGGACUCAAGAAGGAAGCCAGACUGGAGUUUCCCAGGCAGAAAAGCACCAUCAGUCUUAACGCCGCUGUUUUGGCUGGUGCAGUGGGUUGCUCAUAUUUCGACCCUGGGAAUUAACAACUUGGAUGUCCACUCAGAGACCUAAUUUGAAAGUUGGUAAUUACAAAGACGACAGGUGGAUAAAUUUACAAUGAUGGGAAGAAACCAGUGUAAAAAGGCUGAGAAUACUCAAAAUCAGAACGCCUCUCCCUCUAAAGAGGAUCACAGUUCCUCAUCAACAAGGGAAUAAGACUUGAUGGAGAACAAGUGCGUUCCAAUAACAGAAUUAGGCUUCAGGAGAUGGAUAAUAAGAAACUUCUGUGAGUUAAAAGAACAUGUUGUAGCCCAAUGUAAAGAAACUAAGAACUUUGAAAAAAGGUUUGGUGAAAUCCCAAUGAGAAUAGACAACUUAAAGAGGAAUAUAAGUGAAUUAAUGGAACUGAAGAAUACAAUGCAGGAACUCCGAGAAGUAUGCACAGGUUUAAACACUCAAAUUGUUCAAGCAGAAGAAAGGAUAUCAGAGGUCGAAGUCCAACUUAAUGAAAUAAAACAAGAAGACAAGAUUAGAGAAAAAAGGAUAAAAAGGAAUGAGCAAAGUCUCCAAGAAAUGUGGGACUAUGUGAAAAGACCAAAUUUACGUUUGAUAGGUGUACCUGAAUGCUACAGAGAGAAUGAAUCCAAGCUGGAAAAUACCCUUCAGGAUAUUAUUCAGGAAAAUUUUCCUAAACUAGCAAAGCAGGACAAUAUUCAACCCCAGGUAAUACAGAGAACACCACAAAGAUAUUCCUCAAGAAGAGCAACCCCAAGGCACAUAAUCGUUAGAUUCACCAGGGUUGAAACGAAGGAGAAAAUACUAAGGGCAGCCAGAGAGAAAGGUCAGGUUACCCACAAAGGGAAGCCCAUCAGACUUACAGCAGAUCUCUCAGCAGAAACCCUACAAGCCACAAGAAAGUGGGGGCCAAUAUUCAACAUCCUUAAAGAACAGAACUUUCAGCCCAGAAUUUCAUAUCCAGCCAAACUAAGCUUCACAACUGAAGGAAAAAUAAAAUCUUUUAUGAACAAGCAAGUACUCAGAGAUUUUAUUACCACCAGGCCUGCUUUACAAGAGCUUCUGAAAGAAGCAUUACACAUAGAAAGGAACAACCAGUAUUAGCCUUUCUAAAAAUAUACCAAAAAGUAAAGAGCAUCAACAUAAAGAAGAAUUUACAUCAACGAAUGGAUAAAACGGCCAGUUAACAUCAAAUGGCAGUAAUCCCAAAUUUAAGUUGACUAAAUCUCCCAAUCAAAAGAUACAGCCAAAACCCAACAGCAUGUUACAUCCAGACCCAUUUCACAUGCAAGGAUACACAAAGACUCAAACAAAGGGAUGGAGAAAGAUUUACCAACCAAUGGAGAGCAAAAAUAAAUAAAUAAAAAGCAGGAGUUGCAAUUCUUGUAUCUGGUAAAAUAGAUUUUAAAGCAACAAAGAUAUAGUGGUAAAAGGAUCAAUGCAACAACAAGAGCUAACGAUCCUAACACCCAGAUUCAUAGAGACUUAGACUCAAUGAGACAGAAAAUUAAUAAGGAUAUCCAGGACUCGAACUCAGAUGCGGAACAAGUAAGCUUAAUAAAUAUUUAUAGAGCUCUCCACUUCAAAUACACUAAAUAUACAUUCUUGUCAAUACCACAUCACACCUACUCAUAGGUUUAAAUGAAACAUUGGUUGGCCAUUAUUAAUACCCAUUUUUUUUUUUAGAAUAAAGCAUUUCCGUUCUCUCUCCCUCUUUUUCUUCCUCUUUCUUCCUCUCCUUCACUCCUUUCUUUUUUCUUUCCUUCUCUCAAAAAAAAAAAAAGAAAUCAACUUAUAGACCUCUAGAUCCAGGUUGGCAAUGUCUCUCUCAUUGCUUGAUUUCCUUCCUUCCCUUCUUUCCCUCCCUUCCUCCUUUCCUCCCUUCCUAAAAAAAAAAAAAAGUCUGUGUUUGCUUGGAAACUGCUUUUUUUAAAUUAGGAACAGAGAUAGUAACUCAUGUAGUGAAGAAAUUAUGUCUAUUUAAUUCUGUGCUGUCAUAACCACUUUUAGAAAGGUGCUUGCAAAUAACAAAACACCCUAUGUGGGUGUAUAUAUGUAUAUUUUUUUUGGCGGCGGGGGAGACAGAGUUUCGCUCGUUACCCACCCUGGAGUGCAGUGGCGCGAUCUUAGCUCACUGCAACCUCCGCCUCUUGGGUUCAAGUGAUUCUCCUGACUCAGGCUCCCAAGUAGCUGGGAUUAUAGGAGUCUGCCAUCACAACUGGCUAAUUUUUUAUGUUUUUAGUAGAGAUGGGGUUUCGCCAUGUUGGCAAGGCUGAUCUCAAACUCCUGACCUCAGGUGAUCCACUCUCCUUGGCCUCCCAAAGUACUAGGAUUACAGGCAUGAGCCACCACACUCAGCCCAACACCCUAUAUUUUAUAUAAAUAUUAUACUAUGGGCUGACUUGUGUCACUUCAAAAUUUAUAUGUUGAAGUCCUUAGCCCCUCAAACCUGAGAAUGUGUCUGUAUUUGGAGGUGAGGAUUUUAAUGAGGUAGUUAAGGUGAAAUGAAGUCAUAUGAAUGGGCUCUUACCAAAAAUGAUCUUAUAAGACAGGGAAAUUUGAACACAGACAUGCACAGAGGGAAAGCAUGUGGACACACAGGGAGAAGGCAGCCAUCCACAAGCCAAGGAGACGCCUCAGGAGAAACCAACCCUGCUGACACCUUGAUCGUAGACUUCCAGCCUCCAGAACUCUGGGAAAUAAAUUUCUGGGUAUUUAAGCCACCCAGACCGUAGUACUUUGUUAUGGCAGCUCUAGCAAACUAAUGGAAGUGCAUAUUAAUAAAUGAUUUAUUGGCCGAGUAUGGUGACUCACGCCUGUAAUCCCAGCAAUUUUGGGAGGCAGAGGCAGGCAGAUCACAAAGUCAGGAGCUCAAGACCAGCCUGGCCAAUAUGGUGAAACCCUCUCUCUGCUAAAAAAAAAAAAUACAAAAAUUUUCUGGGUGUGGUGGCAUGCACCUGUAGUCCCAGCUAAUCUCGAGGCUAAGGCAGAAGAAUUGCUUGAACCUGGGAGGUGGAGGGCAUGUAUCUCUAGUCCCAGCUAAUUGGGAGGCUGAGGCAGAAGAAUCGCUUGAACCUGGGAGGUGGCAGUUGUAGUGAGCUGGGAUUGUGCCUCUGCCCUCCAGCCUGGGCAACAAAGUGAAACUGCAUCUCAAAAAUAAACAAAUAAGUAAAUAAAUAAAUAACUUAUUAAAAGAUGAAGCAUGGGCCAGGCAUGGUGGCUCAUGCCUGUAAUCCCAGCACUUUGGGAGGACGAGGUUGGCAGAUCAACUGAGGUCAGGAGUUCAAGACCAGCCUGGCCAACAUGGUAAAACCCCGUCUCUACUAAAAAUACAAAAAAUUAGCCGGGCGUGGUGGUGCACACCUAUAAUUCCAGCUAUUUGGGAGGCUGAGGUAAGAGAAUCGCUUGAACCUGGGAGGCAGAGUUUGCAGUGAGCCGAGAUCACACCACUACACUUGAGCCUGGGUGACAGAAAGGCACACUGUGGCCAGGUAUGGUGGCUCAGUCCUAUAAUCCCAGCACUUUGGGAGGACUCUAUCUCAAAAAAAAAAAAAAAAAAAAGAUGAAGCAUGAUUCAGUGACCUUUUAAUUCUAAGCACAUGAUCUGUCAUUUUAAAAAAUGCAACAUUGCAUUGAAAACAAAAAAAAAUGAAUAUGUUAAACAAAUAGAACAAGUCACAAAGCAAGCUUCAGUUCCCAGGCUAGAUUUCGCAUUAUAUGAUUCAAAUUUCAAUAAGUAGAAAUUUUUGGUUUCCAGAGCAUUGUUUCAAAUUUCCCACUGAAGACAUGUUAUUCUUAAAUUGGAUGAGAACAAGCCUAAUUUUAGCUCAAUAUCUACAAGAGGUACAGGCGCUAUUGUAAUUUGCAAAGGAAAUGAGCUGGGAGAUUUCAACAGCAUGUGCUUAGGGAGAACACAGGACAACACAGAGCCCACAGUGACUGCUGGUGUGUUUAUUAACCAUCUCCUCAUUUUCUGCUUUCUUUUCUUUUUUGAGAAAAAAAAAAAGAAAAGAAAGGGUCACUCUGUCAGUCAGGCUGCAGUCCAGUGUCAUGAUCACAGCUCACUAUAGCCUCAACCUCCUUGGGCUCAAGCAAUCUUCCCACCUCAGCCUCCUGAGUAGCUGGGCCUACAGGAGUGUUUUUGUAUUUUUUUGUAGAGAUGGGGUUUUGCCAUUUUGCCCAAGCUGCUCUUGAACUCCUGAGUUCAAGCAUUCCUCCUGCCUUGGCCUCCCAAAAUUUUGGGAUUACAGGCAUGAGCCACUGUGUCUGGCCUUAUUUUCUGUAUUUUUGAUGGUCUGGCAUUUGGGGCCUCACUGGCUAGGUAGAGUCUAACCCUCUCAGGGAUGACUAAUUGCUAGAGAUAGCACACAAGUUUCCUUUGAUCUGAGUGUGCCUUUCAUCUGAGUGAGACUUUCUUUUUCUUUUUUUUUUUUUGAGACAGAGCCUUGCUCUGUCGCCCAGGCUGGAGUGCAGUGGCACAAUCUCGGGUCACUGCAACCUCUGCCUCCCAGAGGUUCAAGUGAGUCUCCUGCCUCAGCCUCCCAAGUAGCUGAGAUUACAGGCGCCCACCACCAUUCCCAGCUAAUUUUUGUAUUUUUGGUAAAUACAGGGUAUCGUCAUGUUGGCCAGGCUGAUCUCAAUCUCCUGUUCUCAGGUGAUCCAGCUGCCUUGGCCUCCCAAAGCGCUGGAAUUACAGGCGUCAGCUACCGUGCCCAGCCACAUUUAUCUAUUUCUGAUUACUCCUAGGCUUCCAGAGGUUUCUCAUUGUGGAUAUGGUCAAAUUAGAGAAUGAGAAAUGUGAGGCCAGAUUAUCCCAGAGGAAGCCU